rnacentral:rRNA from 1 species
AUUGAACGCUGGCGGCAUGCUUUACACAUGCAAGUCGGACGAGUGGCGAACGGGUGAGUAACGCAUCGGAACGUACCAAGUAAUGGGGGAUAACUGUCCGAAAGGACAGCUAAUACCGCAUAUUAUUCGAGCGGCCGAUGUCUGAUGAGCUGGUUGGCGGGGUAAAGGCCCACCAAGGCGACGAACAGUAGCGGGUCUGAGAGGAUGAUCAGCCACACUGGGACUGAGACACGGCCCAGACUCCUGCGGGGGGCAGCAGUGGGGAAUUUUGGACAAUGGGCGCAAGCCUGGUCCAGCCAUGACGAGUGUCGGAGGAAGGCAUUCGGGUUGUAAAGGACUUUUGUCAGGGAAGCGGUACCUGAAGAAUAAGCACCGGCUAACUACGUGCCAGCCGCCGCGGUAAUAC